AUGAACGCUGGCGGCGUGCCUAAUCCAUGCAAGUCGAGCGAACAGACGAGGAGCUUGCUCCUCUGACGUUAGCGGCGGACGGGUGAGUAACACGUGGAUAACCUACCUAUAAGACUGGGAUAACUUCGGGAAACCGGAGCUAAUACCGGAUAAUAUAUUGAACCGCAUGGUUCAAUAGUGAAAGACGGUUUUGCUGUCACUUAUAGAUGGAUCCGCGCCGCAUUAGCUAGUUGGUAAGGUAACGGCUUACCAAGGCGACGAUGCGUAGCCGACCUGAGAGGGUGAUCGGCCACACUGGAACUGAGACACGGUCCAGACUCCUACGGGAGGCAGCGGUAGGGAAUCUUCCGCAAUGGGCGAAAGCCUGACGGAGCAACGCCGCGUGAGUGAUGAAGGUCUUCGGAUCGUAAAACUCUGUUAUUAGGGAAGAACAAAUGUGUAAGUAACUAUGCACGUCUUGACGGUACCUAAUCAGAAAGCCACGGCUAACUACGUG
rnacentral:rRNA from 1 species